GAUAACUGAAUGAAAUACAAUUAAGUAUUCCCUAUUAUAUCUUAUGUACAUGAUGUCGUCAAACUACAUUAUUACCCUACUAAAAAUUACAUGAAGUCAACGAACUUAGUAAGAAAUUUUUAACAUGGUCCCCUGCGACCAAAAAAAUGGCUCCCUACAUUGAGGUUUUUUUCCAAAACAGCAAUUCAGUUCUGUGUAAUCGUUUACACCUGCGUUGUAAACGAUUACAGCAGUUGUUUCUGCAGAAUCAGUUUCCUUUGGUCUUGUGAGCACUCACCAAUGGUGGUCUCCUUCCAAACCCAACAAGGUUGAACCAAAAGGACAACAUGUCUCACACCACAAAUUGACAAAAAAAAUCAGUUGAACCUCUUGUAAAAAAGCAUCAAUUUUUAACAUGGUCCCCU
rnacentral:lncRNA from 1 species